rnacentral:rRNA from 1 species
UACGGAGGGUGCAAGCGUUAAUCGGAAUUACUGGGCGUAAAGCGCACGCAGGUGGCUGAGUCAGUCGAUUGUGAAAGCCCUGGGCUUAACCUGGGAAUUGCAGUCGAUACUACUCAGCUAGAGUAUGGGAGAGGGUAGUGGAAUUCCCGGUGUAGCGGUGAAAUGCGCAGAUAUCGGGAGGAACACCAAUGGCGAAGGCAGCUUGCUGGGACGGUACUGACGCUGAGACGCGAAAGCGUGGGGAGCAAACAGG